GACGAACGCUGGCGGCGUGCCUAAUACAUGCAAGUCGAACGCACAGUUUAUACCGUAGCUUGCUACACCAUAGACUGUGAGUUGCGAACGGGUGAGUAACGCGUAGGUAACCUGCCUGGUAGCGGGGGAUAACUAUUGGAAACGAUAGCUAAUACCGCAUAAUAUUAAUUAUUGCAUGAUAAUUAAUUGAAAGGUGCAAUUGCACCACUACCAGAUGGACCUGCGUUGUAUUAGCUAGUAGGUGAGGUAACGGCUCACCUAGGCGACGAUACAUAGCCGACCUGAGAGGGUGAUCGGCCACACUGGGACUGAGACACGGCCCAGACGCCUACGGGAGGCAGCAGUAGGGAAUCUUCGGCAAUGGACGAAAGUCUGACCGAGCAACGCCGCGUGAGUGAAGAAGGUUUUCGGAUCGUAAAGCUCGGUUGUAAGAGAAGAACGGGUGUGAGAGUGGAAAGUUCACACUGUGACGGUAUCUGACCAGAAAGGGACGGCUAACUACGUG
rnacentral:rRNA from 1 species